rnacentral:rRNA from 1 species
CCCUUAGAUGUUCUGGGCCGCACGCGCGCUACACUGAUGCAUUCAACGAGUCCAACCUUGACCGAGAGGUCCGGGUAAUCUUUGAAACUGCAUCGUGAUGGGGCCAGAUUAUUGCAAUUAUUAAUCUUCAACGAGGAAUGCCUAGUAAGCGUGAUUCAUCAAAUCGCGUUGAUUACGUCCCUGCCCUUUGUACACACCGCCCGUCGCUCCUACCGAUUGAGUGUGUUGGUGAGGAGUUUGGAUUGGCCUCGGAAGGUGGUUCGCCACCGUCCGUAGCUGAGAAGUUCUCCAAACCGCCCCACUUAGAGGAAGGAGAAGUCGUAACA